AGUUAGCUGACGAGUCCCAAAUAGGACGAAAUGUCCAUCUUGACU
rnacentral:hammerhead_ribozyme from 1 species